AAAAGCUCUGGUGUUUUCAAAUACAAAGACUUGAAUACAGUGAACAGAUUAUUCUAGGAAAGUUAAUACAAGGCUCCAAGACAUUGAUCAAAAUUCAAUGUACUACAUAUGUGAAGAUCUAUGGUAAGGAAAUAAUUCUUUCAAACCAAGAAAAACUUCAUUGAUCACUUUGUUUCCCUUUAAUUCAUAAAAUUCCCCAAGGCAUACAUUAAACAAGCCAUAUACAAAUCGCAUACCGUACCUAUUUAUUGGGUAUCAAACGAGCUCGUGGCAUGACGGGGGUGUUGAACUUGUUGCUGCAAUCCUGGACUACCAUUGCAUAUGCCUCUUGAUGAAGGCGGCAAAUGCACAUCACACAUAUGGGACUUGAAUGACACCAUCUGGUUCAUACACAAACUAUGAACUCCUGCCUGGGCUCAUCAACAUACUUACAUGUAGCUUUCCCAUCUCCAGCACAUUCCCCACCUUUAUGUUAAUCCCAGAUUCCGUAGUUUAUCACAGUUAGGAGUAGGUAUAUUCUUGUUCCACUGAUGUCUCUGGAGUUCCAUGUGACAAUGACGCCAAAGCAAGUUUCUAUAAUCCCUAAUUACGUUGUCCUCAAUGUUGGCUCUUGCAGGACUUCCAAUAGGAAAAUUGUCAUCAAAAGCUGCUGAUUUGACGAAGAACUCCAACCCAUGCUUCUCUGUUGCCUUGGUUAUUUGAUAGUAGUAAUUCCUAUGCAGUGAAUAAUCAGGCUCUGCAAACGGAAGGUAAGCAAGCACGAAAAUCAACAAGAAAGGCAAAAUCUGCAGGAGCAGUAGCUGUAGAUUAGUCCCUCCUCCAUUGAACUCCUCCCGGUGUCUACCACUAUUUCCUCCGCUUCUAUAAACAUGAUGAGCCCUAAACAUGUCAGUCUGACCAAAAAAUGACCUGAAUAUCUCAUCUGGAUCAAAAUCAUCAUCAUAAAACUCAUGCACAGUUCUCCUCCUCCUCGUCCGCCUAAGGUUGCUCUGCUGGCUAUACUCAAAGUCAUCAACUAAACCAGUCUGAUCAUACUGCCUCCUUGAACUAUCAUCGCUCAAGCACUUGAACGCCUUGCACACUUUUUUGAAUGCUUCCUCAGAUCCUGGCGCCUUGUUCUUAUCUGGGUGUACUUUCAAUGACAAUUUCCUGUAAGCCUUCCUAAUUUCCUCAACAGAACAAGUCUUUUCCACCCCAAGAAUUGCAUAGUAAUCCUUAUUCCUCUUGAUCUGGCUGAUCAAUUCCACAUGUUCUUCAGUAUAACUCCGCUCUCUAUUUAAACCCUUAUCAAUUUUAACGGGAGUAGGCCUGUUCUUAUCAUAAUCAACAACACGAUUUUCAUCAAGAGAAGAUGGACUGGACCCAGAAGAAUCAAGCUUCUCACAAGCAGCUAAAAGCUCAUCAAUAGACAAAUUAUGAUUCAGACGUUGGGCAAUUCUAAUAAAUUUCAAUGCUCGGUCUUUGUUUCCUGAGGCAAUUGCUUCUUCAGCAAUUCGAACACAUCUCAAAGCUUCAUCUUUGUUACCAUCCAUAGUUUUUCUACCCCAACUUUUUUUCUGGGUAAUACUCACUUUAAAAUUAAAACCAAUGAGCUCCAAUGGAAAAAUUAGCUCUAAUUCAAUACCUAAACUCGCCCAAUACAAUUCAUAAUCCGAGAGAAAUUAAAGUUUGAAUAUCAGAAAGGAAGACUGAACAGAUCACAGAAGAAUUUCGAUGAAAAGUGAAAUGGAUGGAAGUUGAGACUACCUGACAGAGAGAUUCAAACGUUCUGGAUACUGAAACAUCUAAAAAGAGACGGAAAUCAAAUGAGAUGAGUUAGGAACAGGAGAAGAUGACCCGAAGCACACGCUUGUGUCUGGAUUUGCUAUUUAUGAAAGGGUAGGCGAGCAGUCGUAGGCCUGGCCGCUCAGGCUACGGCUAUCAAGUUUCG
rnacentral:misc_RNA from 1 species